rnacentral:rRNA from 1 species
UGCCAGCCGCCGCGGUAAUACGGAGGGUGCAAGCGUUGUUCGGAAUUAUUGGGCGUAAAGCGUCCGCAGGCUGUUUGUUAAGUCAGAGGUGAAAUCCUACCGCUCAACGGUAGAACUGCCUUUGAUACUGAUAAACUUGAGUUAUUGUGAAGUAGUUAGAAUGUGUAGUGUAGCGGUGAAAUGCAUAGAUAUUACACAGAAUACCAAUUGCGAAGGCAGAUUACUAACAAUUAACUGACGCUGAGGGACGAAAGCGUGGGUAGCGAACAGGAUUAGAUA